AGAACGAACGCUGGCGGCAUGCCUAAUACAUGCAAGUCGAACGAACACUUCGGCGUUAGUGGCGCACGGGUGCGUAACGCGUGGGAAUCUGCCCUUGGGUUCGGAAUAACAGUUGGAAACGACUGCUAAUACCGGAUGAUGACGAAAGUCCAAAGAUUUAUCGCCAAGGGAUGAGCCCGCGUAGGAUUAGCUAGUUGGUGAGGUAAAGGCUCACCAAGGCAACGAUCCUUAGCUGGUCUGAGAGGAUGAUCAGCCACACUGGGACUGAGACACGGCCCAGACUCCUACGGGAGGCAGCAGUAGGGAAUAUGGACAAUGGGCGAAAGCCUGAUCCAGCAAUGCGCGUGAGUGAUGAAGCCUUAGGUUGUAAAGCUUCUUUACCGAGAUGAUAAUGACAGUAUCGGGAGAAUAAGCCCCGUCUAACUCCGUGCCAGCCAGCCG
rnacentral:rRNA from 1 species